rnacentral:rRNA from 1 species
AGAGAAUAGAUACCCAGGUAGUCCCAGCUGUAAACGAUGCAGACUCGGUGAUGAGUUGGCUUAUUGCUAAACUCAGUGCCGCAGGGAAGCCGUUAAGUUUGCCGCCUGGGGAGUACGGUCGCAAGACUGAAACUUAAAGGAAUUGGCGGGGAGCACCACAAGGGGUGAAAGCCUGCGGUUCAAUUGGAGUCAACGCCGGAAAUCUUACCGGGGGCGGACAGCAGAGUGAAGGUCAAGCUGAAGACUUUACCAGACAAGCUGAGAGGAGGUGCAUGGCCGUCGCCAGCUCGUGCCGUGAGGUGUCCUGUUAAGUCAGGUAACGAGCGAGAUCCCUGCCUCUAGUUGCUACCAUUAUUCUCAGGAGUAGUGGAGCUAAUUAGAGGGACCGCCGUCGCUGAGACGGAGGAAGGUGGGGGCUACGGCAGGUCAGUAUGCCCCGAAACCCUCGGGCCACACGCGGGCUGCAAUGGUAAGGACGAUGAGUUUCGAUUCCGAAAGGAGGAGGCAAUCUCUAAACCUUACCACAGUUAUGAUUGA